GGAGGGGUUCCCGAGUGGCCAAAGGGAGCAGACUGUAAAUCUGCCGGCUCCGCCUUCGAUGGUUCGAAUCCGUCCCCCCA
rnacentral:tRNA from 1 species